rnacentral:tRNA from 1 species
GAGGGUGUAGCUCAGUGGUAGAGUGCGUGCUCGGUAUGUACAGGUCCUGGGUUCAAUCCCCAGUACCUCUA